rnacentral:rRNA from 1 species
GAUGAACGCUGGCGGCGUGCCUAAUACAUGCAAGUCGAGCGAACAGACGAGGAGCUUGCUCCUCUGACGUUAGCGGCGGACGGGUGAGUAACACGUGGAUAACCUACCUAUAAGACUGGGAUAACUUCGGGAAACCGGAGCUAAUACCGGAUAAUAUAUUGAACCGCAUGGUUCAAUAGUGAAAGACGGUUUUGCUGUCACUUAUAGAUGGAUCCGCGCCGCAUUAGCUAGUUGGUAAGGUAACGGCUUACCAAGGCAACGAUGCGUAGCCGACCUGAGAGGGUGAUCGGCCACCCUGGAACUGAGACACGGUCCAGGCUCCUACGGGAGGCAGCAGUAGGGAAUCUUCCGCAAUGGGCGAAAGCCUGACGGAGCAACGCCGCGUGAGUGAUGAAGGUCUUCGGAGCGUAAAACUCUGUUAUUAGGGAAGAACAAAUGUGUAAGUAACUAUGCACGUCUUGACGGUACCUAAUCAGAAAGCCACGGCUAACUACGUG